rnacentral:rRNA from 1 species
AACAUAGAGUUAAUGCACCGGAUUCCAUUAGAACUCUGCACUUAAGCAUCCUCAAGCUAGAGUAGUAAUGGGAUGUGUUGGUACAGGGGUAGACCCAGGGUUC